rnacentral:rRNA from 1 species
GACGAACGCUGGCGGCGUGCCUAAUACAUGCAAGUAGAACGCACAGUUUAUACCGUAGCUUGCUACACCAUAGACUGUGAGUUGUGAACGGGUGAGUAACGCGUAGGUAACCUGCCUGGUAGCGGGGGAUAACUAUUGGAAACGAUAGCUAAUACCGCAUAAUAUUGAUUAUUGCAUGAUAAUUGAUUAAAAGAUGCUAUUGCAUCACUACCAGAUGGACCUGCGUUGUAUUAGCUAGUAGGUGAGGUAACGGCUCACCUAGGCGACGAUACAUAGCCGACCUGAGAGGGUGAUCGGCCACACUGGGACUGAGACACGGCCCAGACUCCUACGGGAGGCAGCAGUAGGGAAUCUUCGGCAAUGGACGAAAGUCUGACCGAGCAACGCCGCGUGAGUGAAGAAGGUUUUCGGAUCGUAAAGCUCUGUUGUAAGGGAAGAACGGGUGUGAGAGUGGAAAGUUCACACUGUGACGGUAUCUUACCAGAAAGGGACGGCUAACUACGUG